AUGAGGGCGACCGAGUGUGGGGAGGAAGCGUGGAUCGAAGCUGCGGGCCGAUGAACAAGAACCGGAUAGAAGGCGGUGUUUUCCAGGGCGAGCGGGCGUGGAGUCGCGAAGCUCUCGUGAUCAAGGGGAAACGGCGUAAAUCCGGCGAUCGUGCAGUGAAGGAAUGCGUUC
rnacentral:ncRNA from 1 species